rnacentral:lncRNA from 1 species
GGCGGAGCGCAGAACAGUGCUGCGCGGGUGGCGGGAAAGGGGCGGGGAUGAAGGCUCGGGUUGGGCGAGUGCGGACCCAGUAACAGAACCUGUGUGCAAGAGCUAGGUGAAGGACCUCUAGCACUAGGGAGCUCUGUCCACUUCUCUGAGGAAGUGAGGCCACGUGUGGGGUACCGCAACCAAUUCAUCAUUGCCUUCUCCAGCUGCUGGAGACAGGGCACCGGAGGGUGCACUCCAGGUUCAGGUAGGUCCACCACCCGCCCCCCGCCCCCCAGCAACAGUGGCGCACUACCCGCUUCUGGGGUUGCCGCGGCCUGGGAAGCAGGGCUGCUAUGGCCAACCCGGACGAGAGCUGGCCAGGUCCCAUUGCCAGAGGAGUGUUCUGGGCGCCGUAGGGUGCAGGCUUGGAAGGUCGCUCAGGCUAGGUGGAGGAGAGGUGCGGGAGGACUACCUCCUGUAGGAUUCGCUCCUUCUGGUCUUUGGGGUUGUCCUCACUUCGUCUCCUUCGGAAGGACGUGAACACCCAUGCGGCUUCUGGAGACUGCGACCCACUAGCGAUCUGGGUGGUAGUUGCCUGUCUUUCCAAUCUUCCUGAUUCCCAUCCAACAGCCACGAGGACGCUCCUGCUCCUGGCAGGCUUGAACCAGAGGGACUGUGUGAGGAGAAACUAGUGGCAAGGUUGGCCAGGGCGUGCGGGGAAAGCUAGAGUUGCUAGAGUAUUGUGUGCCAGCGCCAAGCCACACCCGGGGGCUCCCUCCUGCUGUCCGAGCUAGGGUGGGGGCUGGGAUUUGGGGUGUGCAGAACUUCCCUCAGAGGGCUGGCCGCGCACACAAGCCUUGGGAGCUCGUGCACUUUUGCACGAGGGCUUCUUGGAGGCAUGUGGGAGCAGUAUUGGUCCUUGGCAGGUACUCAAAAAGGUCUUUGAGAUGGCUCAGCGCACGUCCGGGAUUGGGAAGUAAAGGGAGAAGGUUUUGGUCGUGUGUGUGUGUGUGUGUGUGUGUGUGUGUGUGUGUGUGUGUGUGUGUGUGUGUGCAGGUACAGGUCCUAGAAAGGAGGAGGCGAGUGUCCCAAGGAGACUUGAGUUUCCAGGAUUUGCGUAGCUUCUAUAAACAAAACAAGCUUUCAGGCUUUAAAGUAAAUUAUGGGUAAGUGGGGUGCGUCUCUGGUGUAGGUAAAAAAGCAUGGGCUUGGCGAAGUAGCAAGCCAGGCUGGUUUGGUUGGGGUCUUUUGCUGUCUACAAGCGGUGGGCACGGGAAGUGCUUCUAGUUUCUUUGGCUUAAGGCCACUUGUCUUGGGAAGACUGUGGUGAUCAGAUGAAGCCCAGCUCUGCAACGCAGCUGUUGGGCAAGGUGCUCCCUCUUAUUUUCAAUUAACUCCAGGAUUCCAAGGUUUGUCUUUAUCUUUCUCUCCGACUCAAAUCCUUCUUUUAUCUUAUGGUUGCUUGGAUUUUGGUGAUUGCUUAUGAGAAGGGGAUUUUAAUCAAUAGGAUGUAGAGAAGAUCUUUUAGGAUUUGUAGUCAAAUAAGGGCCAGAGCACUAUGAUGAAGACAACCCACCAAACAUCGAUUUAGAUAGAACGAAGCUCUGUUCAGACUGGAAUUAUAGUUUUUAAAUAGGCAUCUUAUGACCUUUUGAUGUAAUAACCCUAGCUUGGGUCCGUUAUCUCUUUUUAUCUGGUUAAUUUAUGGAAUUCUUUAUCCCCAGAUUAUCAUACAGGGCAAGCUGUUUUGUAAUUUUAAAAGGUAGGUCUUGAAAUGGCUGUUAAGUUAUGCUGGCAUGUGCUCUCUCUCUCUCUCUCUCUCUCUCCCCCUCCCCUUCUUCUUCUUCUCCUCCCUUGAUCUCUCCCUUUCAACCCCAUCUCCCUACUCUCCCUCUUUUUUUUUUUUUUUUUUUUUUUUUUUGAUUUUCGGUUUAUUCCUAGGCUAGCUUGGAACCCGAUAGCCCAGGAUGGUCUCAAAUAUUUGGUCAUUUCCCUUCUCAACCUUCCUGAAUGCUCUCUCUCUCUCUCUCUCUCUCUCUCUCUCUCUCUCUCUCUCAAUGAACUGGGGAGAAGGCCAUUUGGUUGAUGACCUGGGACAUAGGAACAUUUCAGUUUCUAAGCAACUUCUUUAUUAAACCGUUGUGGGAGGAGAUGACUUAGGUAUGUUGCUUUGAGAGAAAGAACACUUGGCUCUUUUGGAGCAAAUAUUUUUUCACUUUCCCUUCCAUUUUCUCUAUUAGAUGCCCAGGAAAGAUGCAUUGCUGAUGAAUAAUACAGGAUUUAUUUCUUGUUUAUGUCUACAGGUGGCAGUGUUGAAGCCGAAAGCUUCUAAAGAAGUGGUUUCAGAAAAAUUAAGAGUUGAAUGUAUAUGAGUAAGCAAACGUAGGAAUCCAAAAAACCACAGCCUGGGACAGAUCAAGCCUAGUACCUUUCCAGCACUUAAGAAGAGUUCAUGCCCAAUCGAUUCACUAUUCAUCUUGAUUCCAUCAUGAAGGUAAACUAAAUUGCCAUUAAACAAUAAUAAAACUCAAUCUACUGCUUUGAUCUGCUUUUAAGAUCUAUAUCAAUAAUAUCAUACAAUAGGAACUCUCUGGUGUAUGUCUUGUUUCACAGGCAAUUAGUUGAUCCCUUGAAUAAAUUGAGUAAUAAUUUACUUGUUUUUUGUUACAUCUUUGGGUAGUAUCCAGGAUUUGGCUAAAAUGAAUGAAACAUCUUUGAACGUUCUUGCUUGUUUCCUUUGGUGCACAUUUCUACUCAGUUCUCCCGACAUAAACAUAGGAUAGAAUGUAAUACUCAGAGAUUGAUCUUCAGUAGAUGUUGCCAAAAGUUUUCCAAAGUAGUAAUACCAACUAAAAUUCUACUAGUGCCAUGUAAAAAUUCUGGUUCCUCUCUACAUUUUAAGUGAUACUUUUUUUUUUAGACAUGCUCUCUCUGUAUUCUUUAUUGCUAAGGCUGGUCU